rnacentral:rRNA from 1 species
CGCGCCAGCGUCUCUACCACGUAGGGGCCAUUUUCUACCGUCAACUGACCGGGGAUGGCAGGCGCGCGCAGCGAGACCGGCAAUAGGGUCAGCGUUCCCGCGGGCUGCGGCGCAGCGGGGACAUCAGUCUAAGCAUCAGGUAACAUCAAAUCGUACCCCAAACCGACACAGGUGGUCAGGUAGAGAAUACCAAGGCGCUUGAGAGAACUCGGGUGAAGGAACUAGGCAAAAUGGUGCCGUAACUUCGGGAGAAG